rnacentral:misc_RNA from 1 species
UGAUAAUGAUGAUACUAGUGAAAAGUCAAAUUCCAGCUCACCUGGAGAUGUACUUGGCCUUGGAAAUUAUGCUUCUGAUGAUGAAAAAAAUGAUGAUAGAGAUGGUGAAAGUCAGAGUUCAAAUGUGCAAGGUUCCAAUAUAAAGGUCAAUACGGAGCCAUCAAGUCCAAAAGGAAAUUUAAGAGAUAUGCAGGAUGCAGUUAGAAAUGCUAGCACUCAAGGAAAUGUUCUAGAGCACAGUGGAAAUCAUGUAAUAAGUGACAUCAAUGAUGGUUUAACCAGUUCAGUUAAUCAAAUGAGUAAAAGCACAAGCUCAAAUAAGUUGAAUGGUAAUUGGGUGGAUGAA